UACGGAGGAUGCAAGCGUUAUCCGGAAUGAUUGGGCGUAAAGCGUCCGCAGGUGGCAUUUCAAGUCUGCUGUUAAAUAUCGGGGCUUAACUCCGAAAUGGCGGUGGAAACUGGAAAGCUAGAGUGCGAUAGGGGCAGAGGGAAUUCCCAGUGUAGCGGUGAAAUGCGUAGAGAUUGGGAAGAACACCGGUGGCGAAAGCGCUCUGCUAGGCCGUAACUGACACUCAUGGACGAAAGCUAGGGGAGCGAAUGGG
rnacentral:rRNA from 1 species